AUACGUUGAAUAAUCCAACUAAAAAACCAGAUUUACUUUUUUCUUAUCAAAGUGAACAGCAGAGACCACAAUUGGAAUUCUUAUUGGGUAAUCGCUUCAAAGCUGAACAAUAUCAAGAUAGUGAAUACUUUUUCAACUCAAGUGGUUGCCAAUUUUCACCGAAAUCUUUUAUUGAAUAGCUCGCUGAAUUGGAAACAUUCUAAGUGGAAUCAAAGAUAAGUUUUUCGUAUACUGAACACCUUCGUUAAAAUUCUUCGUAUAGCCAUUUCGACAGAUGUUUUUAAUCUACAUUUGAAUUUAAAUUCAGGUUCUGGAUCGAAAUGGGACAAUAUUAGGAUGUUCCCUCGUUGUGCUAAAAAAUAUCUUCAAACAGAAAUUAAAACGCCAACCAAAGUGUAUAUUUUUAACAAUACAAAUUAUUGUUCUUUAUUUUUUGUUCUUCAUUAAUUCAGGGUUGAAUUUUGCAAAUUGUUCACAUGAGAAUGCACAGUUUUUCGUCGCAAUGUCAUUUAUAAGCAAUCAUUUGCGACAACUUAAUUUACAGUAUAGUUAAGUAACCAUAUGUUUUUGUUUUAGCUGACAGUAUUCUUUGUUGCGUUGUAGUGGAGCAAUAGAUGGUUUGUCUAUCUUAAAAUUUCUCUGUUUUUUUUAGUUCAGUUUCGAUGGAAUUGUGUUUGGUUGUGUCGGGGAUGGAAACAAAAAAUUUAAACAAGUUUAGCGUUUUAAAGCAAGCGGUCUUGUGUUUUUGUUGUUGUUGUUGUUUUUUUUUCAUUUUAAAUAACAAACGUAUGCGUGUUUCCCGUGUGAAAAAAUAGUAACUGAGCAGUCAGUUAACUAAUUUGGGACAAAAAUGACUUACUUUGAUUGACAUUUCAGUACAAAGUGUAGUGUAAGUCUAUCAUAGUUAACUGAAAUCAUUUGAAGUUACAAGUCAAUCUAAGUUGCUUCAUUUGGGACCAAGUGAUUUUCUUAGAACAAAAAUAUAAAUUCAAUCAACUAAAGUCAACUGAAGUUAUAGUCAGUCAGUCAUUUUUUUUUCACACGGGUUGUCUUGUGAACGCAUCUGAUAAACUGAACAAAAGUCGGUUUUUCUUCUGCUACGUACAUUUUUCCAUAAAUUUAAGCAAAAAAAACAAAA